rnacentral:rRNA from 1 species
GCUCAGAUGAACGCUGGCGGCGUGCCUAAUACAUGCAAGUCGAGCGAAUGGAUUGAGAGCUUGCUCUCAAGAAGUUAGCGGCGGACGGGUGAGUAACACGUGGGUAACCUGCCCAUAAGACUGGGAUAACUCCGGGAAACCGGGGCUAAUACCGGAUAACAUUUUGAACCGCAUGGUUCGAAAUUGAAAGGCGGCUUCGGCUGUCACUUAUGGAUGGACCCGCGUCGCAUUAGCUAGUUGGUGAGGUAACGGCUCACCAAGGCAACGAUGCGUAGCCGACCUGAGAGGGUGAUCGGCCACACUGGGACUGAGACACGGCCCAGACUCCUACGGGAGGCAGCAGUAGGGAAUCUUCCGCAAUGGACGAAAGUCUGACGGAGCAACGCCGCGUGAGUGAUGAAGGCUUUCGGGUCGUAAAACUCUGUUGUUAGGGAAGAACAAGUGCUAGUUGAAUAAGCUGGCACCUUGACGGUACCUAACCAGAAAGCCACGGCUAACUACGUGCCAGCAGCCGCGGUAAUAC